AAUAAAAAAAAGAAAAAAAUAAAUAAAAUAUAACAGAAAAAUUUUGGACUUGAGCCUCUCUCAUUUGAGCCCACAGGUCCACAAAAAUCAGGUUAUAAAUUCAGAGUUUCAGUGAAACAAAAGGCCAUUCUAUUCCUAUUACCCGGGCUGAGGAAAAAGAUAGUGAGAGAAGAGCCAACAGAGUUCAAAGCAACCUCUAGAGACUGAAGGGAACUCAUCG
rnacentral:lncRNA from 1 species